UUCUGCAUAUAUGCAGGAUUUUUUUUAAUAAAAAAAAAUCACUUGUUUGGUCGGUUAGCUGACUGAAAAAACACCUUUGUAGGUCUGGUGCAUAUGCAUUUUGAGAUUAUGGAUACCACGCCUUCUUAAGUCGGGUGAGGCGUGACUGACCUAACAAAUUUUUGUUAAGUCAGUUCAAAAUUUGACUUAACAAGUCAAAACUUGUUAUGUAGCCCACUCUUAAGUCAGGCACGGAACCGAUAUAAAUAGCCUUUUUUGCACUAGUGGUAGGUUGGUGUGACUGGAAAUCUGGGACCCAUGUUGGGAGCUUUACAACCAGAUAUUUGCUUACUAAGGUGACAUAUCUUGGUUUCUUCUUUCUUUAAGUAAUCCAUAGGUCUAAGGAGAGUGUGAUGUAUUUAACUAUCAUUAUUCUCUAUGCUAGUAAGUUAUUUUUUCUUCUAUUAUUAGUAAUUUAAUAUCCUGGGACCCUCUUCUGUUAGCACAACUGUCAGUUACCUGUUAUAACAGGUUAAGUCUCACGCAUGUAUAUAAGCCAAGACUCACAUUCAUUGUGAUUAACAAUUCAGAAAUAGAAAAUCAACUACAGUAAUAUCUAGAAUCUAUUGAUUUUGAACCACACUUUAUACAAACAUUCUUUAUAGGUUAAAAUAAGUUAGGAUACCAAAUUCCCAUGUUCAGGUGACAAGUAUAAUUGGGGUUAGCUCCGUUAGAACUAACAUGAAGGCUUAAUGGACUUAUUAGGAGGUCUGUAGGUACAAGUACCAGGCGUGAUAUUGUCACAAAACCUUUGCUUAUAGUUAUGUUUUACCAACUAAAAGAAACAGAUGGGAACUCAUGACAUAUUUGACUCGAAAAUGCUAAUUUACACGAUGUCUAGGCCAAGUAUCUGUAAAUAGUAGAAGUCAGAUUUAGAAAUAUAUUUUUUAACUCUAAAAAGGAAUUUUUAUGCAAAAGUUGUAAGUUUGAAAAAAACCAAAAAAAGUUUUCUAUUUAUUUUCCAAACCAAUUGGAGAUAGCAAGAAUGGAUAUGAAACGGCGACAAGUGGAUACUGUUUCUAGUAACUUUUGUGAAUAUGAUAAUGAUUGAGUUUCUAAUCUUUUCUCCACAUUUUCAUUUUAUAAUGUCCUAACAAUUUAGGAGUUGUGUUUAUUUGUUCUGUCAUAUGCUUAUUUUAUUUUUGUUGUCUUUAUAAUAUAUAUGCAGUAUUUGAAAAUUAGCGUUAUUUGAAAGUUAGUGUUACAUAGUUUAAUAAGUUGUUUUACUUAUUUGAAAAUUUAUGAAAUAGUUUUGUUGUAUACAAGGGAAUAAAUACUAAGAUAUUGUGGAGAAGUUAAGUGUAACAGUUGCUCAAGUUGGUGAGUUAUUGACAAGUUGCUGCCUAAAUAUUCAGUUUGACACCAAAAUUUUGAAAAAGAAUUUUUCUUUCAAUGUCACAAAAAAAUGAAACCCGUAUUGGGUAAUUUAACUGUUGUUUCGGUGGCUGUUAAAUUCGAUUAGACUAAAUACACUAUAUUUUAAAUGUUGAGUUGAUAUAUUGAUCUAAAAUUUAUUUGUUGCUAUUGGGUUGAUAUUGCCGGUAGGUCCCUUUUCGGAAAAAUUAUUUUUCUUUUCAUUUUCAUGUCUAGCGAAGCGGAGUCGACAUUGUAAGAUGCUUGCAUUUGCCCGCAUGUCAUGACAUAGCGGGGUGUGGUACGUUCUAUAAUGUUGGUUCCUACAGACGCGAGGGCAUAUGAGCCGUAUCGUGGAUGUUUGUGUUUACUGGCUCAAUGUUUUUGCAUUGAACGAUUUACAUAUAAUCCUUAUCAUUUUUGAAUGUUGGCUUUGUGUCUUUGGUUCUUGUCCGUAGUUCUUUGACUUAUAAGAUGCUAUUAGAAGUGACUUGUUUUACAUAAAUCCUAUACGAUUGAUUGAUAUUGUGAUGACUCUUUGAAUUUAUACAACUUUGUCGCUUGAGUUAUUUCGUAGGUCAAAAAAAAAUGUGUUGUCCCCUUUUCCUAAACUUUGUGCCUUCUAGUGCUAAGAUUCUAAAAUUGAUGGAUUUGAUGGAUGUUUUGUUUUGGUCCAAUUAUUAUUGGCUAUAUAAGUUUUGAGAUGAUUUAACUUUUGUGCCAAUGACCCUUAAGUCCAAUUGCAACUGGCCAUAUAAAUUUGGAGAUGUUCAAAUGUUGCAUCGAAGACCCUAGUGUCCUAGUGCUAUUCUAAGAUGGUUAUAUGUGGUCUCCAUCACUUAAAUUCAAUUGAUAUAGAAAUAUACAUUAUUUUGACAUGGUUAUGUGUUGCCCCGAUAACGCUUAAGUCCGAUUGUUACCGACUAUAUAUAUUCAGAGAUGGUUAGAUGUUCCUUCGAUGGCCUCUAAGUACGAGAUUUUAUUCGUUGCCUCAAUGACCACUUAAAGUCCAAUAAAAUUUUAGAUGCUUAGAUGUUUUCUUGACAUGUUCAAUAAAUUUUUAUAUGGUUAUAUGUUGGCCCGAUGACCCAAAGGUAAACUGCUAUUGGCUAUGAUAAUUAUCUUAAGAUAGUUAAAUGUUGUCUGGAUGACUUUUAUUGGUUGCAUAAACAUAGAUGGUGAAAUAUUGUCUCGAUGCAGUUUAAUCCACUUGUCAAGGCAAGUUCACUUCCUUUUUGUUGGCAUUUUUGUUUUAUUUCAAUUUUAAAUUUUAUCAUGUACUAAUCUUUGUUUUUUAACAGGUUACGUUGAGACUUAGAACUGACGUGAAAGAGAAAAUUGCAUAAUUAACAUUGAUGUCUUAUGCUCGAAAAAUGUACCAAUUUUUCUCGAUAAUUAAAAUGCACUCAAUCCUCUGCCUAAAAUUCAGUUUGACACCAAAAUCUUGAAAAAUAAUUUUUCUUUCAAUAUGUCACCAAAAAAAAAAAGGUAAACUCGUAUUGGGUAAUUUAAAUAUUGUUUCGGUGACUUUUCAUUCGAUUAGACCAAAUACACUCUAUUUUAAAUGUUGAUGUUAUAUAUUGAUCUAAAAUGUAUUUGUUUCUAUUGGGUUCAUAUUGCCGGUAGGUCCUUUUUCGGUAAAAAUGUUUUUCUUUUCAUUUUCAUGCCUAGCGAAGCGGAGUCGACGUUGUAAGAUGCUUCCAUUUGCCCGCAUGUCAUGGCAUAGCCGGGUGUGGUAUGUUCUACAAUGUUGGUUCCUACAGACGCGAGGGCAUAUGAGCGGUAUCGUGGAUAUUUGUGUUUACUGACUCAAUGUUUUUGCAUUGAACGAUUUACAUAUAAUCCUUAUCAUUUUUGAAUGUUGACUGUCUUUGGUUCUUGUCCG
rnacentral:lncRNA from 1 species